GAUGAACGCUGGCGGCGUGCCUAAUACAUGCAAGUCGAGCGAACAGACGAGAGUGCUUGCACUCUCUGACGUUAGCGGCGGACGGGUGAGUAACACGUGGGUAACCUACCUAUAAGACUGGGAUAACUUCGGGAAACCGGAGCUAAUACCGGAUAAUAUUUAUCUUCGCAUGAAGCAAUAGUGAAAGACGGUUCUGCUGUCACUUAUAGAUGGACCCGCGGUGUAUUAGCUAGUUGGUGAGGUAACGACUCACCAAGGCAACGAUACAUAGCCGACCUGAGAGAGUGAUCGGCCACCCUGGGACUGAGACACGGCCCAUACGCCUACGGGAGGCAGCAGUAGGGUAUCUGCCGCAAUGGACGAAAGUCUGACGGAGCAAUGCCGAGUGAGUGAAAAAGGUUUUCGGAUCGUAAAACUCUGUUGUAAGGGAAGAACAAGUACGUUAGUAACUGAACGUACCUUGACGGUACCUUACCAGAAAGCCACGGCUAACUACGUG
rnacentral:rRNA from 1 species